UUGCGGCCAUAUCACGUGGAAACACCGGUUCCCGUGUGAUAAACUGAAGUUAAGCAACAUCGAGCCUGGUUAGUACCUACAUGGGUAAUAGUUUGGGAAUAACAGAUG